rnacentral:lncRNA from 1 species
CAACUGUCAUAUUUCUGACUUGGUCCAGGAAUUUUCAAAUGUAGAAAAUGGUGGAUUGAACCUGGUGUUAUAGCGCUUAAUCUCUCAUUUGUAUGACAAUCGCAUCAAAUUCCAUUAUAUUUACAACGUUGUUUAAACAAAACAGACAUAAUUAGUAAAAUUGUCAAAAUAGGGGUACAGCAUUCAUCACUGUAACAAUUUCAAUUAGAACAAGAACAAAUAAAUAUUUAACAAAGAAGCACAAAAAAGCAUCUAUCAAAUUUAAUAACCACAUCCAUUGCUUACUUAUACAAAAAAAAAAAGAUGUGGUUUGAUUGCCUAAGAGACAACUCUCCACAAAAGACCAAAAUGUUACAGAAAUUAACAACUAUAUAGGUCACCGUACGGCCUUCAACAAUGAACAAAGCCCAUACCGCAUAUUCAGAUAUAAAAGCCCAAAAAUGACAAUGUAAAACAAUUCAAACGAGAAAACUAACGCCCUGAUUUUAUAUAAAAAAAUAACGAAAAACAAAUAUGUAACACAUAAACUAACGACAAACACUGAAUUACAGGCCCUUGACCUGAGACAGGCACAUACAUACAAAAUGUGGCAAGGUUUAACAAGUUAGUGGGUUCCAAACCCUCCUCCUAACUUGGGACAGUGAUAUAACAGUACAACAUAAGAACGAAUUAUAAAAAUCCGUUGAAAAAGGCUUAACUCAUCAGAUGGACAAAAAUAUAAGUGGCCGUGGCCGGGUACUUGUACGUCCCAACAACAAAAACACACUAGAUCUGAGAGUACUCGCAAUUAACUGACAACUUGUUCAAAGCCACUAACAACUACUUAAUGAAAAAUCAUGCAUCAAAGUCUAAAUAUAUGUAUUGUAAAUCAACCC